AUUGAACGCUGGCGGCAGGCCUAACACAUGCAAGUCGAGCGAGCGGGGGAGGGGUGAGUAGUCCCGGGGAAUUGCCCAGUCGGGGGGGAUAACAGUUGGAAACUACUGCUAAUACCCCAUAGGACUGUCUUGCACCGGUGGGUGUAGCGAGUGGGUGGGGUAAUGGCUCACCAAGGUGACGAUCCCUAGCUGGUCUGAGGGGAUGAUCAGCCACACGGGAACUGAGACACGGUCCAGACUCCUACGGGAGGCAGCAGUGGGGAAUAUUGCACAAUGGGGGAAACCCUGAUGCAGCCAUGCCGCGUGGGGGAAGAAGGCCUUCGGGUUGUAAAGCACUUUCAGCGAGGAGGCGUUACUCGCAGAAGAAGCACCGGCUAACUCCGUGCCAGCAGCCGCGGUAAUUC
rnacentral:rRNA from 1 species